rnacentral:rRNA from 1 species
GUAGGGGGCAAGCGUUGUCCGGAAUCAUUGGGCGUAAAGCGCGUGUAGGCGGCCAGAUAAGUCCGCUGUGAAAACUCGAGGCUCAACUUCGAGCUGUCGGUGGAAACUAUCUGGCUAGAGUCCGGAAGAGGAGAGUGGAAUUCCUGGUGUAGCGGUGAAAUGCGCAGAUAUCAGGAAGAACACCCGUGGCGAAGGCGGCUCUCUGGGACGGUACUGACGCUGAGACGCGAAAGCGUGGGGAGCGAACAGGAUUAGAUACCCUGGUAGUCCACGCCGUAAACGAUGGGUGCUAGGUGUGGGCGGUGUCGACUCCGUCCGUGCCGAAGCUAACGCAUUAAGCACCCCGCCUGGGGAGUACGGCCGCAAGGCUAAA